rnacentral:rRNA from 1 species
GACAGAGGUGCCGAGCGUUAGGCGGAAUCACUGGGCUUAAAGCGUGUGUAGGCGGGCGGGCAAGUACCUUGUGAAAUCCCACGGCUCAACCGUGGAACUGCUGGGUAUACUGGUUGUCUUGAGCCAGCUAGGGGCGAGCGGAACAGACGGUGGAGCGGUGAAAUGCGUAGAUAUCGUCUGGAACGCCGAAGGUGAAAACAGCUCGCUGGGGCUGCGCUGACGCUGAGACACGAAAGCCAGGGAGCGAACGGG